GCUACUCUUGGACAUCCUGUAGACUUUAUUUAACGUUAUUUUGCCGUCUGGCUCUACUCUCCGGCUUUGCGGCCCUGUGGCACCCCGGCUUCACUCUGACUCCGCACCUUGCGACUGCUGCCAAAGGACUUUUGGACUUCUUCGGAAGCGGAAUCGGACGUGCCUUCGUUGAUCCCACUCCUUUAGAGCUGUUCUGCAUCAUUUGCUAUUGACUGGGCUCCUGUCGGUUUUUGGCCGCACUGGCUGCAACUCCUAGGCUCUUGGCGAGAGGGUUCGUGCUCGGAAGUCGCCUGCUUUGCUACCAGCGUUUCUAAUCCACAAAGAAAAGUGGCCAUGACCAGAACGCCUCCUGUGAGACAGCAGCCACUCUAUCAGUGUUCCUGCAGCCUUCCUUACCAGACAUCUGGACACGCACGUGACCUCGUCAGGCCACAGGGGCCUGCUUAUCUGGAUGAAGUCUUUCAGCUGUUCAUCGGUAGUUUUACUGGAAAUCAUCACUCAAGCGUGUGGAAUGAAAACCUGGUCCCCAAUGCUGAAUUCCCCCUCGCUCCCCUUCACGCAUAAUACGCCCCCACGCUGAGCACUGGCAGAUGCAGGGCUCCGGGCUGCACACUGCAUGUCACCAUUGUGGACUGUGGGAAAGAGGGGCUCCUUUCAACCUGCCUAUUCAGGCUGUCCGUCAGGCAGCCGCCUCAGAGGUGAAGCCCUGCACUUCCUGCUUUCACGCUGCCUGUGAUCCUCCCCUCCCUGGCCCAAAACUCCCGCUCAGUGCAAAGGGGAAGGGAAAGAAUUAUGUGGCCGGGCAAAACAGAUAAAAUGAAAUAAUCUGGGACGGCUGGGUGGCUCAUCCGGUUAAGGCACCAUUCUAGUGGAUGGAUGGGCCCCACAGUCCAGCGUCAGAUCCAGACAUGUCAGUGCCAACAAUGGCCGGCAGCCAUGAUGUACAAAUGGCUCUAGAGUUGUCCAGGGAUGGGAGAGUUUCAGUGAGUCAGGAUUACAGUGUCUCAUUGAUCACUGCGAGCCCAGCUUGCGUACUAUGAUGUGAUAUGAUGACUAUGAUGAAGGGGUGGCUGACAUCACGUGAAAAGGCAAAAAAAUGUGAACCAAUUGAAAGGUAACAAUAAUACAUAUUGCAUGUGUAAAUGCUUUUAAUAAAAUAAGAUUUUCCUGAAAAAUA